CAGGAUGAACGCUGGCGGCGUGCUUAACACAUGCAAGUCGAUCGAAGAAGGCUAGAAUGAGAGCUUCGGCAGGAUUUCUUUCCAUCUUAGUGGCGGACGGGUGAGUAACGUGUGGGCAACCUGCCCUGUACUGUGGAAUAAUCAUUGGAAACGAUGACUAAUACCGCAUGUGGUCCUCGGAAGGCAUCUUCUGAGGAAGAAAGGAUUUAUUCGGUACAGGAUGGGCCCGCAUCUGAUUAGCUAGUUGGUGAGAUAACAGCCCACCAAGGCGACGAUCAGUAGCCGACCUGAGAGGGUGAUCGGCCACAUUGGGACUGAGACACGGCCCAAACUCCUACGGGAGGCAGCAGUGGGGAAUAUUGCACAAUGGGCGAAAGCCUGAUGCAGCAACGCCGCGUGAAGGAUGAAGGGUUUCGGCUCGUAAACUUCUAUCAAUAGGGAAGAAACAAAUGACGGUACCUAAAUAAGAAGCCCCGGCUAACUACGUGCCAGCAGCCGCGGUAAUACGUAGGGGGCAAGCGUUAUCCGGAAUUACCGGUUGUAAAGGGAGCGUAGGCGGCAUUGGUAAGUCAGAUGUGAAAGCCUUGGGCUUAACCCCGAGGAUUGCAUUUGGAACUAUCAAGCUAGAGUACAGGAGAGGAAAGCGGGAAUUCCCUAGUGUAGCGGUGAAAUGCGUAGAUAUUAGGAAGAACACCAGUGGCGAAGGCGGCUUUCUGGACUGAAACUGACGCUGAGGCUCGAAAGCGUGGGGAGCAAACAGGAUUAGAUACCCUGGUAGUCCACGCCGUAAACGAUGAGUGCUAGGUGUCGGGGAGGAAUCCUCGGUGCCGCAGCUAACGCAAUAAGCACUCCACCUGGGGAGUACGACCGCAAGGUUGAAACUCAAAGGAAUUGACGGGGGCCCGCACAAGCGGUGGAGCAUGUGGUUUAAUUCGAAGCAACGCGAAGAACCUUACCAAGGCUUGACAUCCCGAUGACCGUCCUAGAGAUAGGACUUCUCUUCGGAGCAUCGGUGACAGGUGGUGCAUGGUUGUCGUCAGCUCGUGUCGUGAGAUGUUGGGUUAAGUCCCGCAACGAGCGCAACCCUUAUCUUCAGUAGCCAUCAUUCAGUUGGGCACUCUGGAGAGACUGCCGUGGAUAACACGGAGGAAGGUGGGGAUGACGUCAAAUCAUCAUGCCCCUUAUGUCUUGGGCUACACACGUGCUACAAUGGCUGGUAACAAAGUGACGCGAGACGGCGACGUUAAGCAAAUCACAAAAACCCAGUCCCAGUUCGGAUUGUAGUCUGCAACUCGACUACAUGAAGCUGGAAUCGCUAGUAAUCGCGAAUCAGCAUGUCGCGGUGAAUACGUUCCCGGGCCUUGUACACACCGCCCGUCACACCAUGGGAGUUGGAAGCACCCGAAGUCGGUGACCUAACCGUAAGGAAGGAGCCGCCGAAGGUG
rnacentral:rRNA from 1 species